rnacentral:rRNA from 1 species
GACAGAGGUGCCAAGCGUUAGGCGGAAUCACUGGGCUUAAAGCGUGUGUAGGCGGAUUUGUAAGUACCUUGUGAAAUCCCACAGCUCAACUGUGGAACUGCUGGGUAUACUGCUUAUCUUGAGCCACUUAGGGGCUGUCGGAACAAAUGGUGGAGCGGUGAAAUGCGUAGAUAUCAUUUGGAACGCCAACGGUGAAAACAGACAGCUGGGAGUGUGCUGACGCUGAGACACGAAAGCCAGGGGAGCGAACGGG